CCUACGGGGAGCAGCAGUGGGGAAUAUUGGACAAUGGGCGAAAGCCUGAUCCAGCCAUGCCGCGUGUGUGAAGAAGGCCUUCGGGUUGUAAAGCACUUUCAGUGGGGAAGAAAGCCUUGGGGCUAAUACCCUCGAGGAAGGACAUCACCCACAGAAGAAGCACCGGCUAACUCCGUGCCAGCAGCCGCGGUAAUACGGAGGGUGCGAGCGUUAAUCGGAAUUACUGGGCGUAAAGCGCGCGUAGGCGGUCUGAUAAGCCGGUUGUGAAAGCCCCGGGCUCAACCUGGGAACGGCAUCCGGAACUGUCAGGCUAGAGUGCAGGAGAGGAAGGUAGAAUUCCCGGUGUAGCGGUGAAAUGCGUAGAGAUCGGGAGGAAUACCAGUGGCGAAGGCGGCCUUCUGGACUGACACUGACGCUGAGGUGCGAAAGCGUGGGUAGCAAACAGGAUUAGAUACCCCAGUGUC
rnacentral:rRNA from 1 species